ensembl:snoRNA
UCUGUGGUAUAUGAUGACUUCAAACUUUUUUCCCCAUCAGAUCAGCAGUGCUGAUUUGAACUUCUGUUUUAGCCAGUUUGUCUGCUGCCACAGA